AGUUGAUUUCUGUCUGAUUUCUGUUGAUUCGAUCGUGGCUCCAUGAGAACCACCUGGACCAGAUGACAGCAAUGACGGGGCUUUUUCAUCCCUACUGACAUUCUUCGAGAGCCGUGCGGGCAUGGUGCCGAUCGCUGCUGUUGCUGCCUCCUGUUAAAAAGAAAGCGUCAGCAUGCCCGGAUCACUUCGCCUGGCUGUGGUGUGUUCUAGCAACCAGAACCGAAGCAUGGAAGCUCACGCGUUCCUGAGCAAGAAGGGCUUCAAGGUGCGGUCAUUCGGUUCAGGGGCCCAGGUCAAACUGCCUGGAUCUGCACCAGACAAGCCCAACGUGUACGACUUUGGUGUCACCUACGAGCAGAUGUACCAGGACCUCAUGGAGAAGGACAAAGCCCUGUA